rnacentral:rRNA from 1 species
AUACGUAGGUGACAAGCGUUAUCCGGAUUUACUGGGCGUAAAGGGCGUGUAGGCGGUCUUGCAAGUCAGAAGUGAAAUUCCUGAGCUCAACUCGGGCGCUGCUUCUGAAACUGCAGGACUUGAGUGCUGGAGGGGAUAGCGGAAUUCCUAGUGGAGCGGUAAAAUGCGCAGAUAUUAGGAAGAACACCGGUGGCGAAGGCGGCUAUCUGGACAGUAACUGACGCUGAGGCGCGAAAGCGUGGGGAGCAAACAGGAUUAGAUACCCUGGUAGUCCACGCUGUAAACGAUGAAUACUAGGUGUGGGGGGACUGACCCCUUCCGUGCCGGAGUAAACACAAUAAGUAUUCCACCUGGGGAGUACGGCCGCAAGGUUGAAACUCAAAUGAAUUGACGGGG